AGAAAAAAGAAAGAAAAGAAAAAAUCACUUCGCCGGAAAUGCUCUCUUCCGCUUCCCUCCGAUCAAAAUCAAUUGAACAAACUUAGAACCUUCGUUACGUAACUUCUAGCUGAUUCCGAACUCCAUUUCUCGAUUCCGGUGCGCGUUUGCCGUUUAGAGAGGAAGCUAGGGCUCAGAGAUGGAACUGGUACCGAUGAGCAUCAAUUUCACUCAGAUCUUCGAUUCAUGGCCUCAACCUCCUCACAAUCUUUACUCCGCCGUAAAACCACCUCCGGAGCCUUCUCUAACCGCCUUGAUGGACUCCCUACGGCGAGACAGCAAAUCCGAGUUCGUCUCCCGCGCGAAACGCGUCUUCCUAGGUCAAGACUCGGAGCGCGAGCGAGGCGAGGCGCUCAAGCUUCUCGCCGCCUGCUGCGGCUGCGAUUCCGUUAGCUGCGCUUCGUCCAUCUUCAACGGAGACAUCGGAUCGGUUCCGUACAUCAACGACGCGGCUGAGGAUACGGGACUCUCGCCGCUGCACGCGGCGGCCGAGGCUAACGCGCCGAGGUGCGUGGAGAUGCUUAUUAAGCGACGCGCUCGUACGGAUAUGAGGAGCAAAGACGGACGUGCUUUGCUUCCUCUGGAGCUUUCUCUCUGCAGCGGAAGCAUGGAUGUGACCUGGGAUCCAAGUGGUGACUCUCUUGGAGACUUGGUUCUUCUCCUUGGUGACAAGGAUCUGACGGUGGUGAGACUACUUGCUGAAAAGACGAAGGAAGUGGACGUUGUGGCACAUUCAUACGCCACGGCUGGUGAAAUUGUUCCUUUGACUGCGUUGCUGAUUGUAGCGGUUGAUAAGAUCAGAGAGGCUAGUGUGGCGUUACAGGAUGUCGAUGAUUCUGUGUGGACAAAGCCAAAGAAAACGAUCUAUGAGUCUGUUAUUCGAGAAGCAUUGCGUAGUAAUAGCAAGAAAAGAAUGCUUUUGUUGCGGGAGAUUGGGCUCCUUCAGCUCUUUGGUGCUGCAGUUUUUAGUGAAUCUGUGGACAAGCAAACCUCGCCGCUUUUCUCCAUUGUACAGGCUGGAGAUGAAGCUGUUCUUGAACUGCUUAUAAACACGGACAUUGAUGUUAACGAAACAGAUGCAGAAGGGAACACAGCUCUUCAUUGCUGCCUGAAGGGAUCAUCUGUGCCACAUAAGCAACAAACCAGAAUCAUGAACCUACUUCUUGUACACGGUGCUCGAAUUACACAUAAGAACAAGUUGGGUUUAUCUGCAGUCCACUUAGCUGCCGCAAAUGGCAAUUUAUCUGCACUUGAGAUUCUACUAGCGGCCUACCCUGAGUUGGUUCACUACCGAACAGUAAUCAAAGAGACACCACUAUUCUUCGCAGUGAAGAAUAACCAUCUUGACUGCGUUGAGUUGCUACUUCAGUGUGGAGCAAGUUCAGAAAUUCAUAAUCUACGAAAACAGAGACCAAUAGAGCUGACUCAGUCACAAGAUAUACGAUUCCUCCUUAACCCAACAAACAUCACUUGCUCUAGCAAAGAAGCAGAACCUGCUAAAGGAGAUGAUGAAGAAACCAGUUUCGCUGGCACUACCGUGCCACCAUGGCUCAAAAAGUUCGUAAAGUGGCUUCCUCGGCAUCUCCGAGAUGUAUCAGACAGGUACAGAGAGAUUAAUGGAUAUCCCCUCUCAUCACUCAAAGCCGAUUUCAGAGCUGAUUUUGGCAUGGAACUCAACCACUCCUCCCUGGGCUUUUCCAAACUCAUCGACUUCAUCAAAUAUUUUCCAAAACUCUGUCAAGUUAAAUGCGUCCUCGUUGGUGAUUCUGGACUUGCAACCCACUGGGUGAUGUUACCCUCCAAGUGUUCUCAGCUCAAAGGAAGACCUCCAGAGCCACUCAUCAUCAAAAACAACGACUCUUUCUUUCCCAACAAACCGAAGGCCUCAUCAGCUCCAGCUCUCAAGUACACACAACAAGCACAUGAUUCUCAAACCUUGAAGGCCGCCACUCUGAACAAUGACUCUCUCUCUCCCAACAAAACGAAAGUCUCAUCAACCCCAGAUCUUAUAUGCAGUGGCAGCUUCAUACAACAAGCACAUGUCUCUAAAAUCUUGGAGCCAGAAGUAGAGCCUCAACCUCCCGUGGAUGCAUCUUACAGCAACUAUCGUCAAGUAAAACAUCCGGUUCUAGAGACAGCUUCACAUGUAUCUAAAACAUUGAAGCCAGAACCUUCCUUGGAUGCUUCUUACAGCUAUCAUCAUCAUCAGCUAAAACAUCCGGUUCUAGAGGCGCUUGCAAGGAUCAGAAACAGCACAUCCAUAUUCUUUCUCCGUGAGUUCGACUUUUAUCAAAGCUAUGACACGUGUUUAAGGAAAGGAAUGUGUUUCUGGUGCAACAAGAGCAUGCUUCUAUGGGCAAACUUCCCAUGUCGACACAAACUCUGGUGCAGCUCUUGUAAACACAAGAUUGCACAAUCUGCAGGCGACCACCACAAGUGUGUGAUCUGUGACGCUAAAGUCGAAUGUUUCAUCUUGUCUCCACCGUUUGGGUUCGAUCAUCAUAGGCAUUCAAGUCGUCUCCCUAACGAUGCUGAAAUAGCGACUUGGUUCCUCGAAUAUCUGAUAUAAGAAAUUCCAUGAAGAAGGGGAGCAUUCAUUUGGAUCAUGGGAUAUAAGAGAAGGAAAGAAACUCCUCUUGUGUGGAUCGAACUACGAGGAUGCUGAUUGGAGCGGGUGAACGAGAGAGAGAGGGGUUGUACCGGUUUCGUGGGAUUGAGACGAUGACUUCAUUGAAGACUAGCUUGCAGACAGAAUUGGUUUUGUGGCAUAAUAGGAUGGGUCAUCCAUCAUCUCAUGUUACAGGAAUUAUUUCAGGCGAUAAUAAUACUAGUAGUAGCAGUAGUGAGCAUUUAUUUACAAGUUGUGAUGUGUGCUUUCGAGCCAAACAAACUCGACAAUGUUUUCCUUCAAGUUCUAAUAAAGCAAAAGAAAUUUUUGAUUUGAUACAUGUCGAUUUAUGGGGGCCAUAUCGUACAACUGCUUUCUGCGGUUCACGAUACUUUCUGACGAUUGUAGAUGACUGCUCUCGGGCUGUGUGGCUCUACUUAUUACCCGACAAAACCUUGGUCUCACAGCAGAUACUUAACUUUCUUGCCAUGAUCGAUCGUCAGUUUUCUCGGAAAGUUAAGGUGAUUAGAAGUGACAAUGGCACUGAGUUCUUGUGCUUAUCAGCGCUUUUCAGAGAGCAGGGUAUCAUACAUGAGACGUCGUGUGUUCAUACGCCACAACAAAAUGGCCGAGUAGAGCGUAAACAUAGGCAUAUCCUGAAUAUAGCUCAUGCUCUCCGGUUUCAGGCAAGCCUACCCAUAGAAUAUUGGGGAGAAUGUGUCCUUGCUGCGGCCUAUCUUAUCAAUAUGACUCCAUCAGUUGUUCUCCAGAACAAGACUCCUUUUGAAAUUCUCUACGGUCAUCCU